rnacentral:rRNA from 1 species
CCUGAUGCAGCCAUGCCGCGUGUGUGAAGAAGGCCUUCGGGUUGUAAAGCACUUUCAGUCGUGAGGAAGGCAUAUGCGUUAAUAGCGCAUGUGUUUGACGUUAGCGACAGAAGAAGCACCGGCUAACUCCGUGCCAGCAGCCGCGGUAAUACGGAGGGUGCGAGCGUUAAUCGGAAUUACUGGGCGUAAAGCGCAUGCAGGCGGCUUGUUAAGCCAGAUGUGAAAGCCCGGGGCUCAACCUCGGAAUAGCAUUUGGAACUGGCAGGCUAGAGUCUUGUAGAGGGGGGUAGAAUUUCAGGUGUAGCGGUGAAAUGCGUAGAGAUCUGAAGGAAUACCGGUGGCGAAGGCGGCCCCCUGGACAAAGACUGACGCUCAGAUGCGAAAGCGUGGGGAGCAAACAGGAUUAGAUACCCUGGUAGUCCACGCCGUAAACGAUGUCUACUUGGAGGUUGGUGUCUUGAACACUGGCUUUCGGAGCUAACGCGUUAAGUAGACCGCCUGG